rnacentral:lncRNA from 1 species
GUACCAUUGCUGGAUAAUUGGAAAGUCCCUGUGUGUCAACCUCUGUGCUUCGUGGCAAGGUAGACUAGCAAACAUGCCCAACCUUUACUCACAUUCGAGAAAAACACUCCCAACAAGAUUGCUUGCUCCAAAAUCGAAGAGGCACCGCCCUCCGAAUCUCGAGAGCCAGACUCCCAACAUGAUUACUUUCUCAAAAAUCGAAGAGACACUGCUCCCCGAAUCUUCGAAAGCCAGACCCCCAGCAUGAUUGCUUUCUCAAAAAUCGAUGAGGCAUCGUUCUCCGAAUCAAUCGAAGAGGCGCUCGCUUUCUCAAAAGCUGGACUGCUCAGAGACCACGAGGGCCGAUCUCAGAAAUCGAAGAGGCACCUACUUUUCUAGCCUUGUCAGCACCUGUCACACGCACACUCAGCUUUGCAGAAAUUAUGGGCAUUCUGUCGAAGACUUCUGGUGAAGUAGAAAGCACAUGAAUCUUACUGUUCAAUCACCCACUUCCCACACACAACAAUAGCUCAUGGGUACCACAGAUAACUUUGCCAAAGUUCUCUGCCAAAGUUGAGCACGUGAAGCUUGCAGCUCCCACUACAUCGCUCUGACCAAGAAAGGUAAAAGAAUAGCAAAGAAACAGCACUAACAAAGUUUAGACACAUAAAUUUUGAAGGUCUAGCUACCAUAUUAUUACCCACAAGGGUAAAGGAACAGUACCACUGCUGGAUAAUUGGAAAGUCCCUGUUUGUCAACCUCUGUGCUUCGUGGCAAGGUAGACUAGCAAACAUGUCCAACCUUUACUCACAUUCGAGAAAACACUCCCAACAAGAUUGCUUGCUCCAAAAUCGAAGAGGCACCGUCCUCCGAAUCUCGAGAGCCAGACUCCCAACAUGACUACUUUCUCAAAAUCGAAGAGAGGGUAAAGGAACAGUACCAUUGCUGGAUAAUUGGAAAGUCCCUGUGUGUCAACCUUUGUGCUUCGUGGCAAGGUAAACUAGCAAACAUGCCCAACCUUUACUCACAUUCGAGACAACACUCCCAACAAGAUUGCUU